GUCGAACGAACCUUCGGGUUAGUGGCGGACGGGUGAGUAACGCGUGAGAAUCUGCCCUCAGGAGGGGGAUAACAGCUGGAAACGGCUGCUAAUACCCCAUAUGCCGCGAGGUGAAAUGAAUUUCGCCUGAGGAUGAGCUCGCGUCUGAUUAGCUAGUUGGUGUAGGUAAAGGCUCACCAAGGCAUCGAUCAGUAGCUGGUCUGAGAGGAUGAUCAGCCACACUGGGACUGAGACACGGCCCAGACUCCUACGGGAGGCAGCAGUGGGGAAUUUUCCGCAAUGGGCGAAAGCCUGACGGAGCAACGCCGCGUGAGGGAUGAAGGCCUCUGGGCUGUAAACCUCUUUUAUCAAGGAAGAAGAUCUGACGGUACUUGAUGAAUAAGCCACGGCUAAUUCCGUGCCAGCAGCCGCGGUAAUACGGGAGUGGCAAGCGUUAUCCGGAAUUAUUGGGCGUAAAGCGUCCGCAGGCGGCCCAGAAAGUCUGCUGUUAAAACGUGGAGCUUAACUCCAUCAUGGCAGUGGAAACUGUUGGGCUUGAGUGUGGUAGAGGCAGAGGGAAUUCCCGGUGUAGCGGUGAAACGCGUAGAUAUCGGGAAGAACACCAGUGGCGAAGGCGCUCUGCUGGGCCAUAACUGACGCUCAUGGACGAAAGCCAGGGGAGCGAAAGGGAUUAGAUACCCCUGUAGUCCUGGCCGUAAACGAUGAACACUAGGUGUCGGGGGAAUCUACCCCCUCGGUGUCGUACCCAACGCGUUAAGUGUUCCGCCUGGGGAGUACGCA
rnacentral:rRNA from 1 species